rnacentral:rRNA from 1 species
UAGAGUUUGAUCCUGGCUCAGAACGAACGCUGGCGGCGUGCUUAACACAUGCAAGUCGUGCGAGAAAGGAGGGGGCAACCCUUCCGAGUAAAGCGGCGAACGGGUGAGUAACACGUGAGCAACCUGCCCAAAAGAGUGGGAUAACCUUGCGAAAGCGGGGCUAAUACCGCAUAUGACCACGUCGCGCAUGAGAUGGGGUUAAAGGUGGCCUCUCCUUGGAAGCUGCCGCUUUUGGAUGGGCUCGCGGACCAUUAGCUUGUUGGUAGGGUAACGGCCUACCAAGGCGAUGAUGGUUAGCUGGUCUGAGAGGACGAUCAGCCACACUGGAACUGAGACACGGUCCAGACUCCUACGGGAGGCAGCAGUGGGGAAUCUUGGGCAAUGGGCGAAAGCCUGACCCAGCAACGCCGCGUGGAGGAUGAAGCCCUUCGGGGUGUAAACUCCUGUCAGGCGGGACGAAUCUUCCAUUCCUGAAUAGGGGAUGGGGUUGACGGUACCGCCAGAGGAAGCCCCGGCUAACUACGUGCCAGCAGCCGCGGUAAUACGUAGGGGGCAAGCGUUGUUCGGAUUACUGGGCGUAAGGGCGUGUAGGUGGCCUUGCAAGUCAGGCGUGAAAUCCUUCGGCUUAACUGGAGAAGUGCGCUUGAUACUGCAAGGCUUGAGUGCGGGAGAGGAGAGUGGAAUUCCCGGUGGAGCGGUGAAAUGCGUAGAUAUCGGGAAGAACACCGGUGGCGAAGGCGGCUCUCUGGACCGCAACUGACACUGAGACGCGAAAGCUAGGGGAGCAAACGGGAUUAGAUACCCCGGUAGUCCUAGCCGUAAACGUUGGGCACUAGGUGUAGGAGGUAUCGACCCCUUCUGUGCCGCAGUUAACACAAUAAGUGCCCCGCCUGGGGAGUACGGCCGCAAGGCUGAAACUCAAAGGAAUUGACGGGGGCCCGCACAAGCGGUGGAGGAUGUGGUUCAAUUCGACGCAACGCGAAGAACCUUACCUGGGCUUGACAUGUACCAGAAAUUAGCAGAAAUGCUGGUGUCCUUCGGGACUGGUACACAGGUGCUGCAUGGCUGUCGUCAGCUCGUGUCGUGAGAUGUUGGGUUAAGUCCCGCAACGAGCGCAACCCUCACCCUCUGUUGCCAUCGGUUCGGCCGGGCACUCGGAGGGAACUGCCCCGGACAACGGGGAGGAAGGUGGGGAUGACGUCAAGUCCUCAUGGCCUUUAUGUCCAGGGCAACACACGUCCUACAAUGGCCGGUACAAAGGGCUGCAAACCCGCGAGGGGGAGCCAAUCCCAGAAAACCGGUCUCAGUUCGGAUUGGAGUCUGCAACUCGACUCCAUGAAGUCGGAAUCGCUAGUAAUCGCGCAUCAGCAUGGCGCGGUGAAUACGUUCCCGGGCCUUGUACACACCGCCCGUCACACCACGAAAGCCUGUUGUACCUGAAGUCGCUGGGCUAACCCGUAAGGGAGGCAGGCGCCCACGGUAUGGCCGGUGAUUGGGGUGAAGUCGUAACAAGGUAGCCGUAGGGGAACCUGCGGCUGGAUCACCUCCUUA